rnacentral:lncRNA from 7 species
UAUCUCAUCAUCAGCUCCCCUCGGUGCCCUGCCCUCGGUUUAUGAAUUUUCACUUAAGUCAAGUUAACCAAGUAAUGCCGCGUACACAUCUGAAUCAUUCCUUGGUUAUUUCCUUCUGUGAUUUCAAUCCUCUGUUUCUAAUCAAAUUAUGAAACUAAAUUUCCACUUAUCAUGUGACUAUCGGGGCAUCUGUUCAUAAUCUGUCCAAUUCCUACAAAUACUCCUUUCUUUAGCUUUUGGAAAUUUGGCAGCUCUCUGCAAAAUCUUCUCCGUGUCAUUUGCGCCCGGUGCUUCUCUCUAAUGCCAAGUGUAAAUUGCAAACCACGGAUGGCAAACACAGGGAAACCAUUUCCGUGGCUUUCACCGGGAAUGUUUUCAAGCAAAGGUACCGCUGUCCCAUUUUCUAAACCAACAAUAAUUCUGAAAAGCGUUUGCUGAAAAUUUCUGACUUUCGAGGGACAAAGGAACUCCUCGCACACAGACCCCAUUUUUCGCAGGGCUUUCUUUCCUCAGGAGCACUCUGCGCGCAUGAAGGGAGGGAGACCUCAGCGCCUUCGUUUUCCUCCUCUGUCUGACAGCACAGAACCUUUUGUUGCGCUCCCCCCACUUGCAGGGCAGCACUUCGGCUGCUGUGCUCCUCUUCUGGCGCUGACCUUUUCCAUUAGGAGACGCUCGCAGGUAUUACCGAGCAGUUCUUCACCUUCAGCCAGCCCUCCUGCAUUAACGCUGCCGGCGUUCAUUCUCUCCUUCUUUUUACUUUCUUUGCUCUCUCCUCAUCUGCAUCACCUUGCAAAUUUCUCUUCAAGGUUUGCACCUUCCUGGAGUAAUUUUUCCCAGUUGUGCUUUUCCAGGACUGAGCACAACCUGAGCGCAACCACCGACCUCCCGACGCUCCCCCAUUGUGUCAGCAUGGCGCUGAGCAGGGAGCGCUCCCACACCUCCCCAGCGCUCAGCAGCCUCGGAACAGCGAGGGCUUCAGAUCUGCCCUGCACCCAUUUUCCUCGUCUAUUUCAGGCGCGAUGACUCAGAUUAUCAAAGCGCUGCUCGAUGAUCACCAAAGCUUCAGCAUAAUGAGAGUAUUUCAUUUUCUGGUGUUCAGGAAGAAAUGAUAAAAAGUGAUUCAACGGAACCAAAAAUCUGAAGGAAAGAGGGAUUCCUCCUCCGCUGAGCAGUCUGCUCUCUUUGUGACUCUCUCAUACAGAGCUUCUGCUCAACGGCUCAGGGGUGGAAAGAGCGCCUUUGAAGUGACCACUCUCACAGUUCCACAGCUGCGAAGAGCAGCAGCAAGGCGUGCCUGUAUGUGAUGCACAGCAUCAGUGUGCUGGUGCACAACUACGUGCACAAAUAAAAACGGGUGUC